rnacentral:pre_miRNA from 18 species
GCUCGCCAUAUCCAUUGCCCUACUAUUCGCAUCUCAUCACUCCAGUAUAUAUAUAUAUAUAUAAGGAUGAGAUCGUUCAGUACGGCAAUGGAAAGAGCUAAACG